UUUUUUUUUUUUGAGACGGAGUUUUCGCUCUUGUUGCCCAGGCUGGAGUACAGUGGCGCAGCCUCGGCUCACUGCAACCUCUGCCUCCCAGGUUCAAGUGAUUCUCCUGCCUCAGCCUCCCAAGUAACUGGGAUUACAGGCACUCACUACCAGACCUGGCUAACUUUUUUUGUAUUUUUAGUAGAGACAGGGUUUCACCACGUUAGCCAGGCUGGUCUCGAACUCCUAACCUCAGGUGAUCCGCCCGCCUCGGCCUCCCAAAAGUACUGGGAUUACAGGCAUGAGCCACCGUGCCAGGCCUCAACUGAAAAUUCUUGAUGAGAUUAGUCCCACUGCAUAGUAGGUUUCAGUUCCCCAGAGUGAAGGGGGCAUGGGGAGGGGCAGGGCUUCCCAGUGUUAACUGCCUCUGCCCAAGUUAUGACUCAGUCCUGGUACCACUUCAAGAUCCCUUUGAAAGGAAACAUACUUUGCAUCAAGUAAUCCUUUGAAACUGCCACAUUGAAAAGUUAGUUUUUAACCCAAAUAUAAAUCUGGGAGCUUAAACACUAGUCACGAAGCCAUCUUUACUUAAUGAAGAACAACCUGAGGGAGACUGGCCCUGCUUGCCACUUCUAUGGCUGCCCGAGACAGUCUGUUCUGUUCAUGCCCCAGCAGCCUUUUGCCUUAGGUCUCAGGACCUUCUGAACCACCCUUGAGGGUGUGUGCCAGCAAAUACCCCAAGUGGACUUCUACUUAGGACCACUUGAGUGCACAGCUUCAGCUUCUAGAAGGCCAAGUGUGGCUGCAAUUCAGGAUCUGCCCCAAACUCAUGAGCCUUUCCCAAGUUUCCCAGGCAAGAGUAUGAGCUGUGAAUUUCUGUGUUAGGGACAGGAAUGCCACAGUGGUGGGGCCAAUGAUCACUUUCUGACCUUCCUGCCUUCUCAGAUAAAAUGUUGCACAGUUAUGGCCAUGGAGGCGUAAGUAGACAGCAAUUAGCCAGCCAGUGAGAAAACAAAUCAGCAUCUAGAACAGGAGGAGGGGGAGCCGUACAGAUAAGGGAGCCCAUGAUGAGAAGCAGGCUCCCUGCACAGCCUCUGCCUCCAGCGCAAGUAACAGACGUUUCACAUUUAAAGGCUGCCAAGGUAUUGCUGGCGACUCUCCUGUCUGUGAACGUGUGCAACGGGCACAGGUACAAAGAACCAAUGAGAUGUAGGCAGCGCCAUCUGCCACAAAAGGUUCUCCAUCACAGCCCCAGGAGCAAAAUCAAACACCUCUGAUGGGAGCAAGGACCCUGAACAGAAGCCAACGGCUGGAGCCAACAGGCCAUGCCCUUACAAUGAGGACUUGGACAAGGAGGGAACGACUGGAGUGAUGUGAUGCAAGCCCUCUUUGGUCACUCUCGGCUUCCACCAGAGGGAAACACUGGAGUGACGUGAUGCAAGCCCUCUUUGGUCACUCUCGGCUUCCACCGGGGUCUCUGCCUCCUUGAUGAGAAGAGAAGCUGGCUGGCUCUGUGAUGACCUCGAGUGUAUACUACAGGCCGAUGGGCAGGCCGGGCCUCAGCAGUAGGCGCCAACAGAUGCACACCCAGGGCUGAUUCAGGUCCAUUUCAGCACAAUUUUUGUGGAACAAAUCAAAGAAGCAGUAAUACCCAGAGCUGUCCCCACUUAGGGAAUAAAAUUUUCAAGGCUGCAAGAAACCCUCUGUCUACAAACCAGUGGCCAUUGCCUAAGGAGGCUCAGGGAGGCCAGGGGAUCACUAUCAGUGGGACAGGUGCUGGCGG
ensembl:lncRNA